UUCAGUAUUGUUGACUGAUUGUUAUUGGGA
rnacentral:piRNA from 1 species